rnacentral:rRNA from 1 species
AUUGAACGCUGGCGGAAUGCUUUACACAUGCAAGCCGAACGGCAGCACGGACUUCGGUCUGGUGGCGAGUGGCGAACGGGUGAGUAAUGUAUCGGAACGUGCCCAGUCGUGGGGGAUAACGUAGUGAAAAUUACGCUAAUAACGCAUACGAUCUAUGGAUGAAAGCGGGGGAUCGCAAGACCUCGCGCGAUUGGAGCGGCGGAUAUCAGAUUAGGUAGUUGGUGGGGUAAAGGCCCACCAAGCCAACGAUCUGUAGCUGGUCUGAGAGGACGACCAGCCACACUGGAACUGAGACACGGUCCAGACUCCUACGGGAGGCAGCAGUGGGGAAUUUUGGACAAUGGGCGAAAGCCUGAUCCAGCCAUUCCGCGUGCAGGAUGAAGGCCCUCGGGUUGUAAACUGCUUUUGUACAGAACGAAAAGGUUUCUACUAAUACUAGGAGCUCAUGACGGUACUGUAAGAAUAAGCACCGGCUAACUACGUGCCAGCCGCCGCGGUAA